AAGAAGAAGAAGAAAAAGAAGAUUGAGAUUUCCACGUGGUGCAAAAACCAAAGGAAAAAGCGAAUCCAUCAAAAUUCACACCAAGGCAGAAAGGUGCGGUGAUGCCGUCCCGUCUUUAUGGGAGGGAGCUGCCCUCCCUCUGACGUGAGCAAAAUCCAAAAGGAAGAGGGGAGGUGCAAGCAGCAGCCCCAGGGUUCUGCACAGUCUGGAGCGGCUGGAUCCAUCGCCACGAGAACGGUCUGCUCUGCACACCUGAGGAAGUGCAAAAAAGUGGAGGAAAGAAAGAAAAAAGAAAGAAAGAAAAGGAGAGAAAGAGCCCUCUGUGCUCCCGGGCACUGUCUGAUGCUGUCACACCAAAGCCAGCUGCCUCCUGCUCCGAGCACAGGGGACCCCUUCAACUUUACAGGUGCAGCAGGUCUCACUGAUGUCUGCCUGAGCAUCUCCAGCUCCCCAGUGAUGGUGUAACCAGGUACUGCUGGACAGGCUGAGGUUCCUGCCACAUCACCGUCCAAGUGCAGCCACUCACAUCUCCCCUGGCUGCCCUGUUUGAUUUUCUGAUGACUGCAGAAAGAAAUGCAGUGGUUUGACUCAGAACAGGAAGGGUGAAAACCCUGGCCAUAAACUGGGACUUUACACUUGAAUAUCAACAAGCAGAGUCAUCAGAACUCUCCAAAAGCAAUCAGCGGCUUUAAGAGAUUUUAUUUUGGAGAAAGCAUCCAACUGUGUUGGAUUACAGUUAGCAUGGAUGCUGGUCUCCACGGAAAAUCCUGCAGCCUGGGAGGAGGUUGGUGGCUUGCCUGGCUCAGCUGGGGAUGGGCGAACAGGGGAGGUUGAAGGCCUCCAUCAUCCCUGAGCGUUCCUCCCCUACCCCAACAGGUCCCAGUCUCGGUACCUUUGCUGCUCCAGGCACCAGCCCAGCUGGUUCCCCAAGGGGCUUUGGGGACAUUCAUUGAGAAGUGGGGGUGAUUGAUCACCCUCAGCAAAGGGCAAUGAAGGAGCUGCGCUGAAGCUCACUACUGUAAUAAAUGUUCAGUGCAAAAUCUAUGUUAAUG
rnacentral:lncRNA from 1 species